rnacentral:rRNA from 1 species
AUUGAACGCUGGCGGCAGGCUUAACACAUGCAAGUCGAACGGUAGCAGGAGAAAGCUUGCUUUCUUGCUGACGAGUGGCGGACGGGUGAGUAAUGCUUGGGAAUCUGGCUUAUGGAGGGGGAUAACUACGGGAAACUGUAGCUAAUACCGCGUAGAAUCGGAAGAUGAAAGUGCGGGACCGCAAGGCCGCAUGCCAUGAGAUGAGCCCAAGUGGGAUUAGGUAGUUGGUGGGGUAAAGGCCUACCAAGCCUGCGAUCUCUAGCUGGUCUGAGAGGAUGGCCAGCCACACUGGAACUGAGACACGGUCCAGACUCCUACGGGAGGCAGCAGUGGGGAAUAUUGCGCAAUGGGGGAAACCCUGACGCAGCCAUGCCGCGUGAAUGAAGAAGGCCUUCGGGUUGUAAAGUUCUUUCGGUAUUGAGGAAGGUUGAUGUGUUAAUAGUACAUCAAAUUGACGUUAAAUACAGAAGAAGCACCGGCUAACUCCGUGCCAGCAGCCGCGGUAAUACGGAGGGUGCGAGCGUUAAUCGGAAUAACUGGGCGUAAAGGGCACGCAGGCGGUUAUUUAAGUGAGGUGUGAAAGCCCCGGGCUUAACCUGGGAAUUGCAUUUCAGACUGGGUAACUAGAGUACUUUAGGGAGGGGUAGAAUUCCACGUGUAGCGGUGAAAUGCGUAGAGAUGUGGAGGAAUACCGAAGGCGAAGGCAGCCCCUUGGGAAUGUACUGACGCUCAUGUGCGAAAGCGUGGGGAGCAAACAGG